rnacentral:lncRNA from 1 species
GAAGAAAGUGUUCAUCGUUCAUCAUCCGUUCAUCCCGAAGAAUCAAGAAAGCCUUCAUCGUUCUUCGUUCAUCGUUCUUCCAAGAUCAAGCCCCUAUGGCCCUUGGAUCAACAAUCAUCCACCUUCAAGAUGAAGCCCCGACGGCCCAUUUGAAGAACUUCCACCAAUUCAAGAUCAAGCCCCAAAAGCCCUUGAAGAACUUCCACCAAUUCAAGAUCAAGCCCCUACGGCCCUUGAAGAAAGUGUUCAUCGUUCAUCAUCCGUUCAUCCUAAGAUCAAGCCCCAACGACCCUUUAGAUCAACAACGUCGACAAAUCCACACAUCCAACUGUCAUUCAAGAUCAAAGCCCAAAAGCCCUUGAAGGUCCGUUCAUCACCGUUAUUCAAGAUUAAGCCCAAAAGCCCUUGAAGAUCCGUUCAUCACUGUUCUUGAAGAUCAAGCCCAAAAGCCCUUGAAGAUCCGUUCAUCACUGUUCUUCAAGAUCAAACCCAAAAGCCCCUUGAAGAUCCGUUCAUCACCGUUAUUCAAGAUCAAGCCUCAACAGCCCUUGAAGAAACGCUCAUCCUCAAGAUCAAGCCCCAACGGCUCCUUGAAGAUCCGCUCAAAUCCACCUUCAAGAUCAAGCCCACGGCCCUUGAAGAACGUUCAUCCUUAGAUCAAGCCCAACGGCCCUUUGGAUCAAUCGCACAUCCACAAAUCAACACCUUAUGGAGAUCGAAUCAAAGGAUCAAAUUUGAGAGAGAUUGUAACCCAAAAUCAUCAAAUACAAAUAUUAUUUUGUGCACGUUGUUCUUGUCUCUUUCCUUUCAGGAAAUUUUCGUGAUCACAAAUACAUUCCCAAUUGAAGAUUGACUCCAAUCAAGUAAGUAAUCCCAAUUUAAAUUAAUUAGGGAUAAUUACUCUAUUAUCUUAAGAUAUUAUUUCCUAUUUAAUACCUUGAGAAUAUUUCUCCAUAAACAUUGCCCAAUAGGAUGCCACCAUGUGUAGGGUAAAACCCUAACACUAUGGCCGACCCUCUCCCCUAUAUAUACCUCAUAUUCUACCAAAUUUAAGAAGCUGUUGCUACCCCUAAAAGCCCUAAACACUUUACUUUUCUCAGAUAAACUAACUUAGGCAUCGGAGAUCCAUUGGCCUACCCCCCUCCCCACCUCGUGGGUGCAUGAGGCUUAGGUCUUUGAUAAAGGUAUUGAUUGUUUUGCAGGUGCAUUUUCGUUAAGACUAAGACGGCAGAAAUUUGCAUCGACAGUGAUAUUCCUCUUUGUUUGUAAAUGAGAAGUCUUAGGUUCGAUUCUCACCAAAGGCGAAUUUGAACCGCAUUAUUGAUAACCCAUUGUGAGGCUUAGCUCACUUUUUACUGUAGAUAAUAUUGUUUGUUCCAAAAAAAAAAAAUUGUCCCAUUUAGAAAAUGAAUCACAUUGACUUAACCAUGGGGUAGGUACGUUAAACUACAUAAUAUUUACGUCGUAAAAUAUUACAGUGACUGACUAACCGAGUCCUAGCUUUUAUAUUUUUGGUGUUUUGGGUCUGCUGACUGCAUUCUGCACAAGACAACUACAUAAAAAAGAAGGCUUAUUUUUUGGUAUGUUCACAUGAACUUCACUUCAAUCUCACUUUGUCGCUUAAAAUUUAAUUUGAGCCACUUUACAUUUUGAAACUCAAUUUUCACAUAACUUUGAUAUAUUUUGUUAUUCCGUAAAAAAAACAAUUAAAUUCGCUUAUGUGACAUAAUUGGAUCCCACUUAUUUAUGUUAUGAUUACCAUGUGUAUGGGAUAAUAUGUAAAAUAAUUAAUGUUAAUAUAAGAGUAAUGCUAUACUUACAACAUUUUUCAUACCAAAUUUGCAAAUCAUGUGAUAUGUCACCAAUAGAA